rnacentral:rRNA from 1 species
GUUAUAUGGUCAAGCGAAUAAGCGCACACGGUGGAUGCCUUGGCGGUCAGAGGCGAUGAAGGACGUGGCAGCCUGCGAAAAGUAUCGGGGAGCUGGCAACAAGCUUUGAUCCGGUAAUGUCCGAAUGGGGAAACCCACCCGCUUGCGGGUAUCCUGCAGUGAAUACAUAGCUGCUGGAAGCGAACCUGGUGAACUGAAAUAUCUAAGUAACCAGAGGAAAAGAAAUCAACCGAGAUUCCGUAAGUAGCGACGAGCGAACGCGGACUAGCCCUUAAGCUGGAUUGGUUCUAGGAAAACRCUCUGGAAAGAGYGGCCAUAGAAGGUGAUAGCCCUGUAUCUGAAAGGGCCAUUYCAGUGAAGACGAGUAGGGCGGGGCACGUGAAACCCUGUCUGAACAUGGGGGGACCAUCCUCCAAGGCUAAAUACUACUGACCGACCGAUAGUGAACCAGUACCGUGAGGGAAAGGCGAAAAGAACCCCGGAGAGGGGAGUGAAAUAGAACCUGAAACCGUGUGCGUACAAGCAGUAGGAGCUCCGCAAGGAGUGACUGCGUACCUUUUGUAUAAUGGGUCAGCGACUUACUGUUCGUGGCAAGCUUAACCGUAUAGGGGAGGCGAAGGGAAACCGAGUCUGAUAAGGGCGCAUAGUCGCGGGCAGUAGACCCGAAACCGGGUGAUCUAGUCAUGCCCAGGGUGAAGGUGCGGUAACACGCACUGGAGGCCCGAACCCACUCCCGUUGCAAAGGUAGGGGAUGAGGUGUGAUUAGGAGUGAAAAGCUAAUCGAACCCGGAGAUAGCUGGUUCUCCUCGAAAGCUAUUUAGGUAGCGCCUCAUAUGUAUCCUCUCGGGGGUAGAGCACUGUUAUGGCUAGGGGGUCAUCGCGACUUACCAAACCAUUGCAAACUCCGAAUACCGAGACGGACUGUAUGGGAGACACACGGCGGGUGCUAACGUCCGUCGUGAAAAGGGAAACAACCCAGACCCACAGCUAAGGUCCCAAAUUUUGUGCUAAGUGGAAAACCAUGUGGAAAGGCACAGACAGCCAGGAGGUUGGCUUAGAAGCAGCCACCCUUUAAAGAAAGCGUAAUAGCUCACUGGUCGAGUCGGUCUGCGGGGAAGAUUUAACGGGGCUAAGCACAGAACCGAAGCUUGGGGUGCAUAACUUUGUUAUGCGCGGUAGAGGAGCGUUCCGUAAGCCGUUGAAGGUGGAUUGAGAAGUCUGCUGGAGGUAUCGGAAGUGCGAAUGCUGACAUGAGUAACGAUAAUGCGGGUGAAAAACCCGCACGCCGAAAGCCCAAGGUUUCCUUGCGCAACGUUAAUCGGCGCAGGGUGAGUCGGCCCCUAAGGCGAGGACGAAAGUCGUAGUCGAUGGGAAGCAGGUUAAUAUUCCUGCACCUCGCGUAAGUGCGAUGGAGGGACGGAGAAGGUUAGGUGUACCAGGCGUUGGUUGUCCUGGGGAAAGGCGGUAGGUUUGGAUCUUUGGCAAAUCCGGGAUCCUYUAAGACCGAGCACCGAGACGAGCCUUUAWGGCGAAGUCACUGAUACCACGCUUCCAGGAAAAGCUCCUAAGCUUCAGCUUACGCAGACCGUACCGUAAACCGACACAGGUGGGUAGGAUGAGAAUUCUCAGGCGCUUGAGAGAACUCGGGUGAAGGAACUAGGCAACAUGGCACCGUAACUUCGGGAGAAGGUGCACCCUUUUUGGUGGCUCGUGCGAGCUAUAGCUGAAGAGGGUCGCAGUAACCAGGCCGCUGCGACUGUUUAUCAAAAACACAGCACUCUGCAAACACGAAAGUGGACGUAUAGGGUGUGACGCCUGCCCGGUGCUGGAAGGUUAAUUGAUGGGGUCAGCCGCAAGGCGAAGCUCUUGAUCGAAGCCCCAGUAAACGGCGGCCGUAACUAUAACGGUCCUAAGGUAGCGAAAUUCCUUGUCGGGUAAGUUCCGACCUGCACGAAUGGCGUAACGACAGCGGCGCUGUCUCCACCCGAGACUCAGUGAAAUUGAAAUCGCUGUGAAGAUGCAGCGUUCCCGUGGCAAGACGGAAAGACCCCGUGAACCUUUACUAUAGCUUUACACUGAACGUUGAGUUCGUCUGUGUAGGAUAGGUGGGAGGCUAUGAAACUGUGGCGCUAGCUGCAGYGGAGCCAUCCUUGAAAUACCACCCUGUCGUGCUUGACGUUCUAACCUGGGCCCAUUAUCUGGGUCGGGGACCGUGUAUGGUGGGUAGUUUGACUGGGGCGGUCUCCUCCUAAAGAGUAACGGAGGAGCUCGAAGGUACGCUCAGCGCGGUCGGACAUCGCGCACUGUGUGCAAAGGCAUAAGCGUGCUUGACUGCAAGAUCGACGGAUCAAGCAGGUAGGAAACUAGGACUUAGUGAUCCGGUGGUUCUGUAUGGAAGGGCCAUCGCUCAACGGAUAAAAGGUACUCCGGGGAUAACAGGCUGAUACCGCCCAAGAGUUCAUAUCGACGGCGGUGUUUGGCACCUCGAUGUCGGCUCAUCACAUCCUGGGGCUGUAGUCGGUCCCAAGGGUAUGGCUGUUCGCCAUUUAAAGUGGUACGCGAGCUGGGUUCAGAACGUCGUGAGACAGUUCGGUCCCUAUCUGCCAUGGGCGUUGGAGAUUUGAGAGGGGCUGCUCCUAGUACGAGAGGACCGGAGUGGACGAACCUCUGGUGUUCCGGUUGUCACGCCAGUGGCAUUGCCGGGUAGCUAUGUUCGGAAGCGAUAACCGCUGAAAGCAUCUAAGCGGGAAGCGCGCCUCAAGAUGAGAUCUCCCGGGGCACAAGCCCCCUGAAGGAACCAUGUAGACUACGUGGUUGAUAGGUCAGGUGUGUAAGUACAGCAAUGUAUUGAGCUAACUGAUACUAAUGAUCCGWGMGGCUUGACCAUAUAACCU